rnacentral:rRNA from 1 species
GACGAACGCUGGGCGGCGUGCUUAACACAUGCAAGUCGAACGGGCCCGCGCCUUUUUUUGGGGGCGGGUUGAGUGGCGAACGGGUGAGUAUCACGUGAGUAACCUGCCCUCCUCUCCUGGAUAACCGCUUGAGAGGGCGGCUAAUACGGGGUGGUCCGGUUGGUCCGCAUGGGCCGGCUGGGAUAGUUUCAUCUUCGGGUGUUUCGGUGGGGGAUGGGCUCGCGGCCUAUCAGCUUGUUGGUGGGGUGAUGGCCCACCAAGGCGGUGACGGGUAGCCGGCCUGAGAGGGUGGGCGGCCACACUGGGACUGAGACACGGCCCAGACUCCUGCGGGAGGCAGCAGUGGGGGGUAUUGCACAAUGGGCGGAAGCCUGAUGCAGCGACGUCGCGUGAGGGAUGGAGGCCUUCGGGUUGUGAACCUCUGUUCCCGGUUGGUGGUGGUUGUUGACGGUAACCGGGUAUGAAGCGCCGGCUAACUACUGCCACAGCCGCGGUAAUACGUAGGGCCCAGCGUUGUCCGGAAUUAUUGGGCGUAAAGGGCUUGUAGGCGGCGGCCGGUCCGUCGUGAAAUCCUCCGGCUCAACCGGGGGCUUGCGGUGGGUACGGUCGGCUGGAGUGCGGCGGGUGAGGCUGGAACUCCUGGUGUAGCGGUGGAAUGCGCAGAUAUCAGGAGGAACACCGGUGGCGAAGCGGGUCUCUGGGCCGUUACUGACGCUGAGGAGCGAAAGCGUGGAGCGAACAGGAUUAGAUACCCUGGUAGUCCCGCCGUAAACGUUGGGCACUAGUGUGGGGCGUUCCCGUUCGAGGGGGCUCCGCGCCGUAGCUAACGCAUUAAGUG